rnacentral:lncRNA from 1 species
ACUCACAGGAGGGGCUGCACCACCCUGGGGCGUUUUCAGGAACAUUGGCUCACCCUCUAUCAGUGUCAGUGAUAAUGCUGGGAUAAAACACCACAGCAUGCUUUCAUGAAGCAAGCCGCCAUGUUGGAGCAGCCCUCCUGGAAAAGAGCUGAGGAUGGCCUCUGGCCAACAGCCAGUGAGAAACUGAAUUCUGCCAACAGCCAUGUGAGUGAGCUUGGAUGCAGAUCCUUCCCCAGUCAAGUCUCAGAUGAGACCACAGCCCUGGAUGACACCUUGUCUACAGACUUGUGAGACCCAGAAACAGAGGACCUGGUUGAGCCAUGCCUG